CUGCAGAUUGAUUUUUUCGUUUAAAAAUUUUUGAAUAACAAAAAUAUUUUUAUUUUUAAAAAAAUUAUGAUAUUCUGUGCAUGUUAUAAUAUCCUAUGGAUAAAAAAUUAUGACUUGCUGAAUGCAGGAUGUCAUAAUAUAGAUAUGGAAUAUCAUAAUUUUAUCAAAGAAUAAAAGUAUUUUCAUAAUACAAAAUUUUUAAACGAAAAAAUCAAUCAGCAGGUAUUAAAUAUGUAUUAGAAAGCGGUGUUACGUAGAUCAAUCAGAUA
rnacentral:lncRNA from 1 species